GACGAACGCUGGCGGCGUGCCCAAUACAUGCAAGUCGAGCGGAAGUUGAAGAGCUUGCUCUUCAACUUUAGCGGCGGACGGGUGAGUAACACGUGGGCAACCUGCCCUGCAGAUCGGGAUAACUCCGGGAAACCGGUGCUAAUACCGAAUAGUUUUCGCCACCUCCUGGUGGCGUACGGAAAGACGGUUUCGGCUGUCACUGCAGGAUGGGCCCGCGGCGCAUUAGCUAGUUGGUGGGGUAACGGCCCACCAAGGCGACGAUGCGUAUCCGACCUGCGGGGGUGAUCGGCCGCACUGGGACUGAGACACGGCCCAGACUCCUACGGGGGGCAGCAGUAGGGAAUCUUCAGCAAUGGACGAAAGUCUGAUGGAGCAACGCCGCGUGAGUGACGAAGGUUUUCGGAUCGUAAAACUCUGUUGUGAGGGAAGAACAAGUACCAACUAACUACUGGUACCUUGACGGUACCUCACCAGAAAGCCACGGCUAACUACGUGCCAGCCGCCGCAGUAAUAC
rnacentral:rRNA from 1 species